rnacentral:rRNA from 1 species
GACGAACGCUGGCGGCGUGCUUAACACAUGCAAGUCGAACGAUGAACCCGGAGCUUGCUCCGGCGGAUUAGUGGCGAACGGGUGAGUAACACGUGAGUAACCUGCCCUUGACUCUGGGAUAACUGCGGGAAACUGUAGCUAAUACCGGAUACGACCCUCGGCGGCAUCGCCAGGGGGUGGAAAGAAUUUCGGUCAAGGAUGGACUCGCGGCCUAUCAGCUAGUUGGUGAGGUAACGGCUCUCCAAGGCGACGACGGGUAGCCGGCCUGAGAGGGUGACCGGCCACACUGGGACUGAGACACGGCCCAGACUCCUACGGGAGGCAGCAGUGGGGAAUAUUGCACAAUGGGCGCAAGCCUGAUGCAGCAACGCCGCGUGAGGGACGACGGCCUUCGGGUUGUAAACCUCUUUUAGUAGGGAAGAAGCGAAAGUGACGGUACCUGCAGAAAAAGCACCGGCUAACUACGUGCCAGCCGCCGCGGUAA